GACGAACGCUGGCGGCGUGCUUAACACAUGCAAGUCGAACGGAAAGGCCCUGCUUUUGUGGGGUGCUCGAGUGGCGAACGGGUGAGUAACACGUGAGUAACCUGCCCUUGACUUUGGGAUAACUUCAGGAAACUGGGGCUAAUACCGGAUAGGAGCUCCUGCUGCAUGGUGGGGGUUGGAAAGUUUCGGCGGUUGGGGAUGGACUCGCGGCUUAUCCGCUUGUUGGUGGGGUAGUGGCUUACCAAGGCUUUGACGGGUAGCCGGCCUGAGAGGGUGACCGGACACAUUGGGCCUGAGAUACGGCCCAGACUCCUACGGGAGGCAGCAGUGGGGAAUAUUGCACAAUGGGCGGAAGCCUGAUGCAGCAACGCCGCGUGCGGGAUGACGGCCUUCGGGUUGUAAACCGCUUUCGCCUGUGACGAAGCGUGAGUGACGGUAAUGGGUAAAGAAGCACCGGCUAACUACGUG
rnacentral:rRNA from 1 species